AAAUAGAUAAGUGAUUUUGGAUAAACAGAGAAAAAAGGAGAGAAAAGAAAGCACCACUACAAAAAAUAAUGGGUCCACAGCAGCAUAUUUUCUGGAUUUUAAAGUUUUACCUUUGAAUUUUCAAGUCAAGAGAUGGCAGAGCUCAGAGGUUCUUUUUGUUUUGCUUUCGUUGAGCUAAAAAGAAUCGUUUGCUUCUCAUUCACUCGUUUGGCAUUAUUAAACUGAAUACGAAUCUAAGCCCAGCCAGCAGAGAGUUUAUAAUUCAUCUUCAUCACAGGGUGUUAGAUCCAGUUUCAAGGUGAUUUUACCAUUGUAAUCUUGUGGAAUUAUCAAAUUCCUUUUCCACUCUCAUAGUGAGUCGCUAGAGAGGCGCGAUGGUACGAACUCUACAUUUGCAGGACGCAGGAAUUGAGGUGGUGGAAGCUUACUUGAUGGAUCGAAGCUGUUGAAGCAUUCCUCCCUCACGCCACCUGAGAGAAAAAAGAGAGAAACACGUUUAGUUUCAUCAUGCGCAUACAUACAUACAUCCACGUCUUUGUAGCCGCCCCGAGACUAGCGUUACGUCACAUGGAGGUUGCUUUGUCUGGCUGCGACUGGCAAAGAUUCAAGCGUUACCUCCGUAUUCGCGAUCCCCAAGAAGAACUUGCUCAUAGUCUUCCCUCGAGGAACGAUCCAUCGAUCCAUCGACUUGCUCGACGGAGAGCGAGAGCGCAGCGCACAGAACAGCAAGAACCUGAGGUGAGGCAACGGUAGUAGUAAUUGCUCUCUACGAAAAGGAGCAAAAAGCGUAAAAGAACCGCGUACCUUCGUACUAGCAUGGCGAACAAGCCAGUUCCAUUGCUACCAGCAGCUGUGAUGACGACGCUCCUGGCAGUAGCCGGAAUAGCUUGGACGCUUCUCAG
rnacentral:lncRNA from 1 species